GAGACAUGUAUUCACCAGUAUUAUCUAGACAUAUAGUUUUUAUUAUGAAAAAGGGGCUCAUAGCCGUUUUACUGGUGAUGGCCUAAUGAGUUUCCCUUGUGUACAUGCUACACACGUGAGAUUCUUUGGGAUAACUCUUCUUAUCUUUUAAUGUGUACCUUUUGAAUAUCAAUUUUCGCAUCAUGUUUGGAACAUGAUGGCCUAUCCGGUCGUGCCAUAAAGUGUAUAUUUUCGCAGGCUUUUAGCCUCUAUCAUAUUGAUCUAUGCAUAGUCUAGGUCAGUAGAGAAUGCAGGUAUAGUCUUUAGGACUUAUUAUGGCCUUGGGCGAUUUUAUACAUAUAUCUGAAGGAACUAU
rnacentral:lncRNA from 1 species